CUACCGGGCGGACCGGAUGCGGAUCUCGAAAGCCUGUCCCAGUUCGGACUGGAGUCUGCAACCCGACUCCACGAAGUUGGAUUCGCUAGUAAUCGCAGAUCAGCAUGCUGCGGUGAAUACGUUCCCGGGCCUUGUACACACCGCCCGUCACACCAUGGGAGUCGGUAACACCCGAAGUCGGUAGCCUAACCGUAAGGAGGGCGCCGCCGAAGGUGGGAUUGAUGACUGGGGUGAAGUCGUAACAAGGUAGC
rnacentral:rRNA from 1 species